CGGCGUGCCUAACACAUGCAAGUCGAGCGAGGAGAUCCCUUCGGGGAUGAACCUAGCGGCGGACGGGUGAGUAACACGUGGGCAACCUGCCUUAUAGAGGGGAAUAGCCUUCCGAAAGGAAGAUUAAUACCGCAUAACAUUACAUUUUCGCAUGAAGAAGUAAUUAAAGGAGUAAUCCGCUAUAAGAUGGGCCCGCGGCGCAUUAGCUAGUUGGUGAGGUAACGGCUCACCAAGGCGACGAUGCGUAGCCGACCUGAGAGGGUGAUCGGCCACAUUGGGACUGAGACACGGCCCAGACUCCUACGGGAGGCAGCAGUGGGGAAUAUUGCACAAUGGGGGAAACCCUGAUGCAAGCAACGCCGCGUGAGUGAUGAAGGUCUUCGGAUCGUAAAGCUCUGUCUUCAGGGACGAUAAUGACGGUACCUGAGGAGGAAGCCACGGCUAACUACGUGCCAGCAGCCGC
rnacentral:rRNA from 1 species